rnacentral:lncRNA from 1 species
UACCGGUCAGACUCCAGGUCUUAUAUCUUGAAACUGUAAGUCCCUGAAUUCACAGACAAUUCAGAGUAAGGAUGGAGGCAAAGAAGAGGACCUUGGGUUUACUGUUCACGAGAUGACCUCAUAAAGGUGUUCAGUGAUGAAGAGGAGUGGCUGAAGAGAUGGCUGUCUAGAGUCAACACAAACCUACCCCAAAGUUUGACCUUUGCCUUAAGUCAGUAACUGAGGAGGGCCACGGUCCUGAGUUCAGUCCAGACCCCAGGAAGAUUCAGAGCCUGCAGUUGUCCUCUGGUUUCUAAAGUAUGUUAUUGGGCUAAAGAUUUCAAGACAUUUAUCCUUCUUUGCUUUCUAUCGCAGCCAUUAAAUGUUUUAGAUAUUUUCUGCCAGAAGGCAGGAAUCAUGAAGAUAACAAAUAUUAAAGACAAAACCAAAUAACUUUUAAUGA